AGCAUGUGGUUUAAUUCGAAGCAACGCGAAGAACCUUACCGAGGUCUUGACAUCCCGAUGCUAUUUCUAGAGAUAGAAAGUUACUUCGGUACAUCGGUGACAGGUGGUGCAUGGUUGUCGUCAGCUCGUGUCGUGAGAUGUUGGGUUAAGUCCCGCAACGAGCGCAACCCCUAUUGUUAGUUGCCAUCAUUCAGUUGGGCACUCUAGCGAGACUGCCGGUAAUAAACCGGAGGAAGGUGGGGAUGACGUCAAAUCAUCAUGCCCCUUAUGACCUGGGCUACACACGUGCUACAAUGGUUGGUACAACGAGUUGCGAGUCGGUGACGGCGAGCUAAUCUCUUAAAGCCAAUCUCAGUUCGGAUUGUAGGCUGCAACUCGCCUACAUGAAGUCGGAAUCGCUAGUAAUCGCGGAUCAGCACGCCGCGGUGAAUACGUUCCCGGGCCUU
rnacentral:rRNA from 1 species